UCGGCGCUGGCUCUCUUCUCAAGCCUUACUCCAUAGAAACGCCCACGGGAUGAGCCCUAAAUCUCGCCUCGGAAAUCACCGCCUCUCCGCCGCUCUAUAACAUCCGAGGAAGUCGACGUCGUUCUUGGGCCUAUGUUGCCUCCUGAAAUCCCUGGGUCUGAUGGAACAGAACAGUCAGCCUCUUGCCUCAGGCCGCUCGGCUAAACAGGAUAGGAGCAGUCUUUCUCCAUCAAAGCUA
rnacentral:lncRNA from 1 species